rnacentral:rRNA from 1 species
AAUCAACGCUGGCGGCGUGCCUCAGACAUGCAAGUCGAACGCGAAAGUUUCCUUCGGGAGAUGAGUAGAGUGGCGCACGGGGUGAGUAACACGUGAGUAAUUUACCUUCGGGUGGGGAAUACUAACCGGAAACGGUCGUUAAUACCGCAUAAUGCAGCGGCAUCAAUGAUGACAGUUGUUAAAGCGGGGGAUUGGAGCAAUCCGACCUCGCGCCUGAAGAGAAGCNCGCGGCAGAUUAGCUAGUUGGUAAGGUAAUGGCUUACCAAGGCGACGAUCUGUAACCGGCCUGAGAGGGCGGUCGGUCACACUGACACUGAAUAACGGGUC